GCCUGGAUAGCUCAGUGGUAGAGCUCAUGACUAGAGAUGCAGGGGUCGCGGGUUCGAUUCCCGGUCCAGCCA
rnacentral:tRNA from 1 species